UACGAAGGGGGCUAGCGUUGUUCGGAAUCACUGGGCGUAAAGGGCGCGUAGGCGGCCUGAUAAGUAGGGGGUGAAAUCCUGCGGCUUAACCGCAGGGCUGCCUUCUAAACUGUCAGGCUCGAGCACAGUAGAGGCAGGUGGAAUUCCCGGUGUAGCGGUGGAAUGCGUAGAGAUCGGGAAGAACAUCAGUGGCGAAGGCGGCCUGCUGGGCUGUUGCUGACGCUGAGGCGCGACAGCGUGGGGAGCAAACAGG
rnacentral:rRNA from 1 species